ACCGCGCCCCGACCUGAACGGAAAUCCUUUUUGCUUUAAAAAAUUUUCUUUUUUUUAAUGUUCAUGUUUGCAAAAAGAUUGGGAGUGGAGGGCGGAAAUGUGC
rnacentral:sRNA from 1 species